UAUCUCUGUAGAGUCUGCAUAUCAAUAAGCGGAGGAAAAGAAACUAACAAGGAUUCCCCUAGUAACGGCGAGUGAAGCGGGAAGAGCUCAAAUUUGAAAUCUUCAAGGUUUGACCUUGACGAAUUGUAGUUUAAAGAAGUGUUUUCGGUUAGAGGAGUAGUAAAAGUUCUUUGGAAUAGGACAUCAUAGAGGGUGAGAAUCCCGUAUUUGACUAUUCUUUCUAGCUUUGUGAUACACUUUCAAAGAGUCGGAUUGUUUGGGAAUGCAGUCCAAAAUGGGUGGUAAAUUUCAUCUAAAGCUAAAUAUUGGCGAGAGACCGAUAGCGAACAAGUACCGUGAGGGAAAGAUGAAAAGAACUUUGAAAAGAGAGUUAAACAGUACGUGAAAUUGUCAAAAGGGAAGCGUUUGACACCAGUGUUGUUUUUCCGAAAAUCAAUUAAAAUUGAUUCAUGCCAGGUUGUAUUGACCUUAUCAGCUUGCAAUUUGGUUUUGGGUCUCUUUUUGAUGCACUUUUCGGUUAACAAGUCAACAUCAAUUUCCUUUGCUGUAAAAAGGUAAGAGGAAGGUGGCUUCAAUUUCGGUUGAAGUGUUUAUAGCCUUUUAUCUCUGCAGUCGGGAGAUUGAGGUCUGCAGCGUAGAUCCUUCGGGGCUAGAUACAUUUAUGCUAAGUUAUAGCUUUUCAUAGACAACUUGUUGACUAUGUUUAGUCAUGUAGCUUACUCGUAAGUGCUAUUUUACCUACGCUUAGGAUGUUGAAGACUCUACAGAGAU
rnacentral:rRNA from 1 species